UGGGGCAUCGCCAAGCGGUAAGGCAUUGGACUCUGACUCCAAUAUUCCCAAGGUUCGAAUCCUUGUGCCCCAACCA
rnacentral:tRNA from 1 species